ACCCUAGCUAUUUUCUGUAUUCUCUUCCUGCCGGCCGCCAGAGAGAUCGCCAAUUUGACUGAGUCCCUUUCGUUUCUGUACGCCGUCAGGGAGCUUUCUCCGGCCGCCGUUCUUCUCGGUUGCCAGGGAGAACCAGCCGUUGGCUGAACCUGACCACUAAUUUCCUAGCCGAGCCCAGGCAACUGACCGUACGACCGUCGAUGAAUCGGCCGGCAGCCAUACUCGGCUGUUCAGUCUGCGCGGCGAAGCGGGGCCCUGCGGGCUCUCCCGCCGGCGUGCGCGUCCCCUAGUGCGGGCGCGCCGCCGUCGGUAGAGCGGUCAGCGGUGGUCCCUGCAAACCCGGCUAAAUCUGUUGUUACUGUGACUUUCUGUUUUCUCGCCCGGAUCUAGCCUCUAUCUCGAAUCCCUCUGAGUGAAUGAAUGUAUGAAAUGAAACUAUAUGUAAUUUUGGGAUUGAGUAUGGAGGUCUAAAGUGUGGAUCUGGUUCCCUUUGCGUUUU